GGGCUCGCUUCGGCAGCACAUCCCCUCAAACCGGGACGACACUGAGAAGAUUAAUCCGGCCACUGCGCAAGGGUGACACGCACAUUCGAGAAGCGUGCCGUGUUUUC
rnacentral:snRNA from 1 species